ensembl:misc_RNA
AAAGGACUUGUAUGAACAUAAGAUGGCAAAGAAGUAGAAGGAAAAGUGAACAAAUUCCUGCAGUCCAACAUUAA